GUGGGGAAUUUUGGACAAUGGGCGCAAGCCUGAUCCAGCAAUGCCGCGUGCAGGAAGAAGGCCUUCGGGUUGUAAACUGCUUUUGUACGGAACGAAACGGUCCUGGUUAAUACCUGGGGCUAAUGACGGUACCGUAAGAAUAAGCACCGGCUAACUACGUGCCAGCAGCCGCGGUAAUACGUAGGGUGCAAGCGUUAAUCGGAAUUACUGGGCGUAAAGCGUGCGCAGGCGGUUUUGUAAGACAGGCGUGAAAUCCCCGGGCUCAACCUGGGAAUUGCGCUUGUGACUGCAAGGCUGGAGUGCGGCAGAGGGGGAUGGAAUUCCGCGUGUAGCAGUGAAAUGCGUAGAUAUGCGGAGGAACACCGAUGGCGAAGGCAGUCCCCUGGGCCUGUACUGACGCUCAUGCACGAAAGCGUGGGGAGCAAACAGGAUUAGAAACCCUGGUAGUCC
rnacentral:rRNA from 1 species